AAUAAACGCUGGUGGCGUGUUUUAUACAUGCAAGUCGAGCGGAGAUUAGCUCGCGGUUAGAGGAGAUUUAUCUGUAGUCUCUAUGGAUGAUGAUUCUUUGACUCAGGCUAAUCUUAGCGGCGGACGGGUGAGUAACGCGUGGAUAAUCUACCCCUGAGUGGGGAAUAACUUUCCGAAAGGGAUGCUAAUACCGCAUGAUGUUAUUCCACCUCGGUAGGAUAACCAAAGUUAGACUCUUUGAGUCUUUCGCUCAGGGAUGAAUCCGCGUCCUAUUAGCUAGUUGGUGAGGUAACGGCCACCAAGGCGACGAUGGGUAGCCGGCCCGAGAGGGUGUUCGGCCACACUGGGACUGAGACACGGCCCAGACUCCUACGGGAGGCAGCAGUAGGGAAUCUUCCGCAAUGGGCGAAAGCCUGACGGAGCAACGCCACGUGGACGAUGAAGGCCUUCGGGUCGUAAAGUCCUGUCAGAAGGGACGAUGGUUGAUCUUCGGAAUGACUGACGGUACCCCCAGAGGAAGCUCCGGCCAACUACGUGCCAGCAGCCGCGGUAAUACGUAGGGAGCAAGCGUUAUUCGGAUUUACUGGGCGUAAAGAGUGCGUAGGCGGUUGGGUAAGUCAAGGGUGAAAUCUCUGCUCUCAAGGCAGAAACUGCCCUUGAUACUGCCCGACUUGAGGACAGGAGAGGGAAGUGGAACUCUGGAAGUAGCGGUGAAAUGCGUAGAUAUCCAGAGGAACGCCAGUGGCGAAGGCGGCUUCCUGGUCUGUCCCUGACGCUGAGGCACGAAAGCUAGGGGAGCGAUCGGGAUUAGAGACCCCGGUAGUCCUAGCCGUAAACGAUGGGUACUAAGUGUGGGGGGAGCAUUACUCUCCGUGCUGAAGCUAACGCGUUAAGUACCCCGCCUGGGGAGUACGGUCGCAAGACUGAAACUCAAAAGAAUUGACGGGGGGCUGAACAAGCAGUGGAGCACGUGGUUUAAUUCGAUGAUACGCGAGGAACCUUACCUGGACUAGAAUGCAUACUGACAGUCCCAGAAACGGGAUUUUUCUUCGGAACGGUUUGCAAGGUGCUGCAUGGUUGUCGUCAGCUCGUGCCGUGAGGUGUUGGGUUAAGUCCCGCAACGAGCGCAACCCCUAUCUCUAGUUGCCAGC
rnacentral:rRNA from 1 species